rnacentral:rRNA from 1 species
GAUGAACGCUAGCGGCAGGCCUACUACAUGCCAGUCGAACGGGAUCCAGAUCAAAGCUUGCUUUGGUCUGGUGAGAGUGGCGCACGGGUGCGUAACGCGUGAGCAACCUACCCUUGUCAGGGGGAUAGCCCGGCGAAAGUCGGAUUAAUACCGCAUGACAUCAUUGAGAGGCAUCUUUCGAUGAUCAAAGAUUUAUCGGACAAGGAUGGGCUCGCGUGACAUUAGCUAGUUGGUAAGGUAACGGCUUACCAAGGCUGCGAUGUCUAGGGGCUCUGAGAGGAGAAUCCCCCACACUGGUACUGAGACACGGACCAGACUCCUACGGGAGGCAGCAGUAAGGAAUAUUGGUCAAUGGACGGAAGUCUGAACCAGCCAUGCCGCGUGCAGGAGGACGGCCCUAUGGGUUGUAAACUGCUUUUAUACGGGAACAAACGUCGGUACGUGUACCGGUCUGAGUGUACCGUAAGAAUAAGGAUCGGCUAACUCCGUG